rnacentral:rRNA from 1 species
GACGAACGCUGGCGGCGUGCCUAAUACAUGCAAGUCGAGCGAAGUUUUUCUGGUGCUUGCACUAGAAAAACUUAGCGGCGAACGGGUGAGUAACACGUAAAGAACCUGCCUCAUAGACUGGGACAACUAUUGGAAACGAUAGCUAAUACCGGAUAACAGCAUUAACUGCAUGGUUGAUGUUUAAAAGUUGGUUUUGCUAACACUAUGAGAUGGCUUUGCGGUGCAUUAGCUAGUUGGUGGGGUAAAGGCCUACCAAGGCGACGAUGCAUAGCCGACCUGAGAGGGUGAUCGGCCACACUGGGACUGAGACACGGCCCAGACUCCUACGGGAGGCAGCAGUAGGGAAUCUUCCGCAAUGGGCGAAAGCCUGACGGAGCAACGCCGCGUGAGUGAAGAAGGAUUUCGGUUCGUAAAGCUCUGUUGUUAGGGAAGAAUGAUUGUGUAGUAACUAUACACAGUAGAGACGGUACCUAACCAGAAAGCCACGGCUAACUACGUGCCAGCAGCCGCGGUAAUACGUAGGUGGCAAGCGUUGUCCGGAAUUAUUGGGCGUAAAGCGCGCGCAGGUGGUUUAAUAAGUCUGAUGUGAAAGCCCACGGCUCAACCGUGGAGGGUCAUUGGAAACUGUUAAACUUGAGUGCAGGAGAGAAGAGUGGAAUUCCUAGUGUAGCGGUGAAAUGCGUAGAGAUUUAGGAGGAACACCAGUGGCGAAGGCGGCUUUUUGGCCUGUAACUGACACUGAGGCGCGAAAGCGUGGGGAGCAAACAGG